UCUACGAGUUUGAUCCUGGCUCAGAACGAACGCUGGCGGCAGGCCUAACACAUGCAAGUCGAGCGAACCCUUCGGGGUUAGCGGCGGACGGGUUAGUAACGCGUGGGAAUAUACCCUUUGGUACGGAAUAGCCUCGGGAAACUGAGAGUAAUACCGUAUGUGCCCUUCGGGGAAGGAUUAUCGCCAAAGGAUUAGCCCGCGUUGGAUUAGAUAGUUGGUGGGGUAAGUGGCCUACCAAGUCUACGAUCCAUAGCUGGUUUGAGAGGAUGAUCAGCAACACUGGGACUGAGACACGGCCCAGACUCCUACGGGAGGCAGCAGUGGGGAAUCUUAGACAAUGGGCGGCAAGCCUGAUCUAGCCAUGCCGCGUGGACGAUGAAGGCCUUAGGGUUGUAAAGUCCUUUCAGAUGGGAAGAUAAUGACGGUACCAUCAGAAGAAGCCCCGGCUAACUCCGUG
rnacentral:rRNA from 1 species